CCAAAAGAAAAAAAUGUGGUGUGGUAUACGCACGCGCAAGACUGGUGCACAUGCGUGUUGCAAAUCGGGCAUGAGUAGGGUAGUCGUCCAGUCAAGAACUUAACAGCGAGUAACAAGUUAUUUGAGAUAUUGGGUCUAGGCAAGUAGUUAUGGCAGACCAUAAUUACACCCCAGCCAUUCUGAGGCUACCUGUCUCAAACACUAGAUAUACCUGUACAGAAGUCGGAGCUAACGUCUGUGCGAGGCGCAGGGGAGAGUGCUCAGGUUCGGCGACCAACUUGGAUGGUUAUGUUCAUUUAAAGGGUUGGCUACCUCCCCAAUAUGAGUACCAUGUUUGCAAUCUAGAACAAGUGCCUUCAUCUACUGAUCAUAUUGGGUUUGAUGCAACAAUCAGGAUCAAGAACAUCACUACAGUAGACCAAGCUCAGCAGUGGGUGAAGGCAGCUAAGAGGAGCUCGGGGGUGAUGUGGAGGGUUGAUGUCACGAGACCUAGGUUGGGGAAACGUGUUUUACACAAGGUUUCUUACAAGUGUCAGCAUAAUGUAAAUGUGAAGUCUAAGACGGCAAAUUCCAGAAGAUCCUCAAAAAAUACAAACUGUCAGGCAAAGAUGUCUGUCACUCUCAAGCACUGUAAUAAUGGGAAGAUUAACCAGAGCAAAGAUCCACACCUGCCUGACUUUCCCUUUGAGGUGAAAAUUCAGAACAAGCACAACCACAACCUGUUUGUUGCAGAGGCUCUCAGACACCGAGAUGUGGGAGAGAAGGCCAUAGAAAGCCUUACAAAACUGUUUGAGAUUGGUCACUCUCCCUCAUCUGCACUAUCUGCCCUGAAGAAUGAUCUGCAAAUGGAGUAUGGAGACAGAUACACCUAUGCCUCAACUAACCGGGAGAUUUGCCCUGACCUUUCAUUCGUGCAAAAACUAUACCAAAAAGUUUGCAGGAAGCAGUAUGGUGCACACACACAAGAAGCAGGUGCAACACAUAAUCAACAGCACUUACAGACAGGUGGUUUGUUAUGAUUUUUUAUGAUAUGAUACAUUUAUUAACAGCAGUGUAAUAUAUGUAUUGACUCAUAUAUAAUAUCUGGGAUAUAUUAGAUGGUAAGCUAACAUUAGGUACGCGUAGCUGACAUGUUGGAUAAAGAAGAAAUAUUUUUUACAAGAGUCAGCAUUAUUUGUUACAUGGGGGUGGUCUUAAUGUUUUAGCUCAUCUGUGUACAUACUCGCUGGCCACUUUAUUAGGUGCACUUUGUUAGUAUCAUGUCGGACCUCAGUUUUGCCUUUAGAGGUGCCUUAAUUCUUUGUGCCAUAGAUUCAGCAAGGUACUUCAAACUUCCCUUACAUACUUUGGUCCACAUUGGCAUGACGGCAUCACACAUUUGCUGCAGAUUUGUCGGUAGAUCCUUCAUGAGACCUCACUGCUGACCAGGGAUCCACAUAUGCCCAGCCCAUCAUUGAAGAUCAUAAUGAUGAAACCAGUCAUGAAAUGCCUGCUGACUUGGUUGAGGUCAUGAUCGACAGACUGUGUCAGCUUCGUGAUGACAACCACUUUAGUCCUGGACUGGUUGCUAUGGCCAAGCAGUUUAAUCACAUAAAAGAUAACCCAGCAAAGCUACUGUCUGCAAUGCAUGGCUUUGGGAAAUCCACCAACCCUGUAGCAUACAGUGCCAAGGCCAUCAGAAGACCAGCAAAACGUCUACAGCCUACAUCUUUAGACAAGUGUUCAGUCAAAGUGGGGAUCAAAGAAGCAUUUGAGUCCUGAACACAGUGGUAUAGAACAUCCAUGCUGCCUGGAGAAAGAGGGCGGUAAAGUUUCCUCAUCACAGAUUGGGGCAUUGUGUGGCAAUGAACUGUUAGUACGGUUAGCUGUUGAGGCUGCAUUUUUUGGGGGAUGGUUUAAUACUGAAAUCUGGAAAUUCAGUGGGCCUCUUCUCCCAGUAAUUUUAUUGUUGUCCUGUACAUAAUUAAUUGUCAAUAGUUUCUUUUACAAACUUAUGCAAAAGUAACCUGUUGCACCUGUUGAAAUUUCAUUUACAAACCUAUACAAAGUCCAAAAACUUACACGCAGAUUAUAUGGAAAUUGACAGUAAUGUACCAUUUGCACUUUACCAUUAGCAUCCUGUGCUGCACUGUGUCCUGUACUCUUGCUCUGCAUCUUUUUUUGUUUUUACCCUGAGAUGUGCCAAGUCUACUUUAAAUCAACUUUGUGUAGGCAUGCAAUAAAGGGAUAGUGAUACUUCGUACUUAAAAUUACCCUGCUGUAUAUUCAUUCGUUGAUUAUUUAGAUGAUUUUUUUUUAUAAUAAUCUAAUAAUUAUAAUACUGUUUUACUAAGUAACAGCAAAUUAAUAGUAAAGGUUUUGUUUCACAUUAA